rnacentral:rRNA from 1 species
CUUCGGCUCGUAAACCCCUGUCAUUUGCGAACAAACCCUCACAUUGAACAGGUGUGAGAUUGAUUGUAGCGAAAGAGGAAGGGACGGCUAACUCUGUGCCAGCAGCCGCGGUAAUACAGAGGUCCCGAGCGUUGUUCGGAUUCACUGGGCGUAAAGGGUGCGUAGGUGGUGGGGUAAGUCUCGUGUGAAAGCUCGCAGCUCAACUGCGAAAAGUCACGGGAUACUAUUCUGCUGGAGGCUUGGAGGGGGGACUGGAAUACUUGGUGUAGCAGUGAAAUGCGUAGAUAUCAAGUGGAACACCAGUGGCGAAGGCGAGUCCCUGGACAAGACCUGACACUGAGGCACGAAAGCCAGGGGAGCAAACAGGAUUAGAUACCCUGGUAGUCCUGGCUGUAAACGGUGCACGUUUGCUGUAAGAGGAAUCGACCCCUUUUGUGGCGAAGCUAACGCGCUAAACGUGCCGCCUGGGAAGUACGGUCGCAAGAUUA